ACAAAGGCUCUUUUAAGAGCCGCCCACUUAUUUCUCAAAAAGAACU
rfam:Taeniopygia guttata chromosome 1A, whole genome shotgun sequence.